GACGAACGCUGGCGGCGUGCCUAAUACAUGCAAGUCGAACGCACUGGGGACGGGUGAUUAACACGUGGGUAACCUCCCAUCAGAGGGGAUAACACUUGGAAACAGGUGCUAAACCGAUACUGAUGGAUGGACCCGCGGUGCAUUAGCUAGUUGGUGAGGUAACGGCUCACCAAGGCCACGAUGCAUAGCCGACUUGGGAGGGGGAGCGGCCACACUGGAACUAGAACACGGCCCAGACUCCUACGGAAGGAAGCAGUAGGGAAUCUUCGGCAAUGGACGAAAGUCUGACCGGUCAACGCCGCGGGAGUGAAGAAGGUUUUCGGAUCGUAAAACUCUGUUGUUGGAGAAGCGGUAUCUAACCAGAAAGCCACGGCUAACUACGUGCCAGCAGCCGCGGUAAUAC
rnacentral:rRNA from 1 species